GGUUUUUGACUUGAGUCUUGCUAGGGGGCUUGAUUAUUAUACCGGAGUCAUAUUUGAAGCAGUUUUUAAGGGGACUACACAGGUAAAAUUCCAUUCAUGCCUCUGGAUAUCCCUGUGUUAGUUUGCUUUGUCUUAAAUGUUAUUUUUAUUAUUUUUCGUUUUAGUACAAGGCAUGAGGAAGAUUUUGGCAAAAAUUAUGAUCUGUUAGCUUUGUUAUUGGAUUGUAGUUAAAUCAGUCAAAUGGAGAACCUGUAGUUCUUUUAGAACUGUUGGUAGGAAAUGGAUGUAUGGAACUGCUGCAGAUCCGUCUCCUAAUCCUAGGGAUUUUAGGAGAACACAAACCUAUUUUAGGAAGAAAUAUAGAAAUAGGAAUUUGUUUUGUGAUUUUUCUUAAUUGGAUUAGUGUCCCUAAUUAGAUUGGGAUUCUUAACUCCUAAAUAAAUUGAGAUCCUUAAUUCCUAAUUAGAUAUUUAGGGUUGUACAAGCACUAUAUAUAAGUCUUGUUAUUUUCAUUAUUUUUCAGUUUUGUGAUGACAAUUUUUAUUAGAUUA
rnacentral:misc_RNA from 1 species